AUACCUUUCUUGGCUUUUUGGCUAAGAUCAUGUAUAGUAUCUGUUCUUAUCAGUUUAAUAUCCAAUACAUGUUUCUACGGAUCCAUGAGAUAUUAAGUUAAUCUUUUGUGGGGGAGAAUUUUUCUAUGUAGCUUGCUAUAUGGAUGGUUCUCAUGUGUCGGACAAGCGUUGCACUACUGCUUGGAACAGAUGCACCCCAA